CAGCCUCCCAAGUAGCUGGGACUACAGACUAUAAUUUCCUCUUCCUUCAUAUAUAUCACAAAACCUAGCACAGCUGAAUUAGUCAGGAUUCUUUUGCAAGCGGUUAUGGGGUCUCACUAUGUUGCCCAGACUGGACUCGAACUCCCCAGCUCAAGUGACCUUCCAGCCUCCCAAGUAGCUGGGACUACAGGUAUGCACUAUUCUAUCCAGCUCAGCAUCCUUCUAAUAAAUACUUUUUAUUGUUUAAGUAAGUCAGAGUCAAUUUUCCUUUCUGCCAAUCAAAUAAUUACAGUGGAAUUGGGGUCAGGGUGCAGUAUAAUCAGAGAAUAUAUACUAAGAUUUUAACAGUAACAGUUGCUUUCUAAAAUUGUUCUUGUCUGUAUUUUCUACAAUGAAUAAUGAAUAUGUAUUAUUUUUAUACUAUCAAAUGAAAGGAUAAUAGAGCUACUUUUACCAGGAUCAAAGACAGAGAUAAAACCAGGCACCUGAGAUUUGUUGAUUACCACAAUUGAGCCUUGAAUUUGGCUCUAAGGUUCCUGGGAGUUAAGGAGAAAACUUGGGACAGGAAACAUAUGGGUUAUUUAGUCUGACAAAAAGAAGAAAACAUAUUUUGCUAAAGAGAUGAGGUUUCUCCUGGCACGGAAUUUAAGGAGAAAUCUUGUACAUGUGUGUGUGGGUUCUUGUGUAAGAUACAUAGAGUAACUUAACGGCUAUUAUCUUGAAAUGUGGUUUUACAAAAGACAGAAUGCUUUUCAAAUGGAUUUUUAUAUUAUUAUGGUAUAAAAACUAAGAGACUCACAGUAAAUCUUAACAUAAUGAAGACAUCUUUGCAAGAUAUGAAAAUAAUAAGGUCAGAUAAAUUUCAUUCUUCAGGUACCAACCUAAUGCAGGGAAAUCCUAGCUCUUACUUUCACUUACCUUAAAAGCCUCACUAUUUCCAAUGUAGAUCCAAUUCACAAAAUAAUUCUUCUUCUUCUUCCU